CAUCGAGCCUGGAGACUCGUCACAAAGCAUUCCGAUCUGUCAGCACUGUCAUGGGAUGCGGCAGAGUCUCGCUGUGAGUGACACGUGGCGCAGUGAAGGACGAGGGAUUAAAGCACACAUGCACAAACUAAACGGAAACACGCUCCGCUCCGCGCCGGGGGCGAGGCGAAGCUCUGCGGUUCGACGCCGCGAGGACGGUCUGUCCCUUAUCUGCGAUUAGCUGCAGUGAUACCGACAUUCACCGAACGUCCCAGGGGCUCUUUGGGCUCAGGGGCUCUCAUGGGACUAUCGGCGAAUCGGACGCUCGGGACCGACACGCCUCCUCAAGACGAUGUCAUCAGAGGUAAGCGGGUAAACAAACCCGUAACGUCAUGCUGGAGAAGCAGAAUAUACACCUCCCCAGGCUAAGGAAGGCAAUGGGGGG